rnacentral:lncRNA from 1 species
AUGUUAUCACAAUUGCAAAAGCUUGGGAGAAAAAUUAUUACAGCACAGCUGUUUUUAGGAAUGGGCUUCCCAGAGCACCCAAUCUCAACAGACCACCUUGAAUGCUACUUGGAAGGGGAAGGAAGCACUGAACUGCAAAAUAACCUGAGUGGCUUCCUCAUCCCACUUUGUCAAGAGUUCUCUGAAAAAGGAAAUGAAGACUUAUUGGUUCCUAACUUCACAAGUCCUUUGGAAACAGAAAUGGCUUACAAAGGGAAGCAGGGCUUCUCAGAGAGGCUGCUACAAGAAGUCAGGCUGAUGUUUUAA